rnacentral:rRNA from 1 species
UACGGAGGGUGCAAGCGUUAUCCGGAUUCACUGGGUUUAAAGGGUGCGUAGGCGGGCAGGUAAGUCAGGGGUGAAAUCCUGGAGCUCAACUCCAGAACUGCCCUUGAUACUGGCGAUCUCGAGUUCGGGAGAGGUGAGUGGAACUGCGAGUGUAGAGGUGAAAUUCGUAGAUAUUCGCAAGAACACCAGUGGCGAAGGCGGCUCACUGGCCCGAUACUGACGCUGAGGUGCGAAAGCGUGGGGAGCAACAGG